rnacentral:rRNA from 1 species
UACGUAGGUGGCGAGCGUUGUCCGGAUUUAUUGGGCGUAAAGCGCGCGCAGGUGGUGCGGUAAGUCUGUCGUGAAAUCUCCUGGCUCAACUGGGAGGGUGCGGUGGAGACUGCCGGACUGGAGGCACUCAGAGGCCGGUGGAAUUCCCGGUGUAGUGGUGAAAUGCGUAGAGAUCGGGAGGAACACCAGUGGCGAAGGCGGCCGGCUGGGGGUGACCUGACGCUGAGGCGCGAAAGCGUGGGGAGCGAACGGG